GUCCGACUGAAGAAGGAGUCCUUCCGGGUUAUGUUAUCCGGGAGGACUCCGGAAACAGUUGCAGGGUAUCGAAGGACUAGAAGGGCGGCAGCUUCUGCCGUGUCAGAGGCAAAGCAGCGGGUGUGGGAGAAGUUCGGAGAAGCUAUGGAGAAGGACUUUCGGUCGGCACCAAGGUGCUUCUGGAAAACCAUCCGGCACCUCAGGAGGGGGAAGCGAGGAACCAUCCAAGCUGUGUACAGCAAGGGUGGGACCCUGCUGACUUCAACUGAGAAGGUUAUCGGCCGGUGGAAGGAGCACUUUGAGGAACUCCUGAAUCCGACUAACACGCCCUCUAUGGUUGAGGCAGAGCUGGAAGCUGAUGGGGGAUCAUCGUCAAUUUCCCUGAUGGAAGUCACUGAGGUAGUCAAACAACUCCACAGUGGCAAAGCCGCAGGGGUUGAUGAGAUCCGUCCAGAAAUGCUGAAGGCUUUGGGUGUUGAGGGGCUGUCUUGGUUGACACGCCUCGUCAACAUUGCGUGGAAGUCUGGGACAGUGCCUAGGGGUUGGCAGACCGGGGUGGUGGUUCCCCUAUUUAAAAAGGGGGACCAGAGAGUGUGUGCCAACUACAGGGGUAUCACACUUCUCAGCCUCCCUGGUAAAGUCUACUCCAAGGUACUGGAAAGGAGGGUUCGGCCGGUAGUCGAACCUCUGAUUGAAGAGGAACAAUGCGGAUUCCGUCCUGGUCGUGGAACAACGGACCAACUCUUCACUCUCGCAAGGAUCCUGGAGGGGGCCUGGGAGUACGCCCAUCCGGUCUACAUGUGUUUUGUGGAUCUGGAGAAGGCGUAUGACCGGGUCCCCCGGGUGAUACUGUGGGAGGUGCUGCGGGAGUAUGGGGUGAGGGGGAUCACUUUUGAGGGCCAUCCAAUCCCUGUACGCCCAAAGCGAGAGUUGUGUCCGGAUACUCGGCAGUAAGUCGGACUCGUUUCCCGUGAUUGUUGGCCUCCGCCAGGGCUGCGCUUUAUCACCAAUCCUGUUCGUGAUUUUCAUGGAUAGGAUAUCGAGGCGUAGUCGUGGAGGAGAGGGGUUG
rnacentral:lncRNA from 1 species